UGUAGAGUUUGAUCCUGGCUCAGAUUGAACGCUGGCGGCAUGCCUUACACAUGCAAGUCGAACGGUAACAGGUUAAGCUGACGAGUGGCGAACGGGUGAGUAAUGCAUCGGAACGUACCUGGUAGUGGGGGAUAGCUCGGCGAAAGCCGGAUUAAUACCGCAUACGCACUAAGGUGGAAAGCGGGGGACCGAAAGGCCUCGCGCUAUCAGAGCGGCCGAUGUCGGAUUAGCUAGUUGGUGGGGUAA
rnacentral:rRNA from 1 species